CCGGGGGCAGCAGCGCUGAUCCGUGCGCAGGAGGGGCGGGGGCGGGGCCGGCCCGUAGCCGGAAGGAGAACCACGUUUGUCAUCUUCAAUCUCCUAGUAGCUACGUUUUUUUCAAGGUAACAGGUAACAGCCAAAGUUCCCUAGUUAACAGUACGUUUGAUUCGACCCCAUAGAUACAUCAUUCAACGUGUAACUGGCGUCGGACCUGAUCCGUGAGAUUCCUUCACAGGGAGACCGUGCACGGGCACCUGCCUCUGGCGGCUGCUCACAGGCCGCGUUUCCAGCGCUCAGCAGCCCCGUGUGGCCCGUGGCCACCGUGCAGACGGAGCAGCCGCUCCGGGGGUUUUCUGGACACAGAGUGGGGGUGGCCGGGGCCCUGGCAAUUGGCCCCAGCAAGGCCAGCCUCCAGCUUCUGAGUAAACCGCCAAGGCAGUGCCCAGUGGAGUCCAAAGGGGCAUUUUCUGUUUAGGAACACACCCGCUGGCGGGGCGGGGCCGAGGGAUGGUGAUGCAGGCUGGGGCUCAGCACCUCCAGGGCUCUUCCUCACAGCUGCCACUGAGCCUGACUCCAGCAAAAUGUCUACUUUAUUCAGGAGGUGCCUGCGGCAGACUGAAUUGUGCCACCCUCAGAAUGCAUGGGUUGAAGCCCUAACCCCCAUGUGAUUAUUCGGAGCUGGGCUGUCGGGGAUAAUUAAUAUGAAGUCGUGCAAUAGGCUUGGUGUUUAAUAGAAAGAGGUCAGUGCUCGCCCCACCCUCACAUGUGCAAAAGAAGCCGCUGUAGGAGUGCGCCGCGGGAAACCACCCCAGCCAGCCACAAACCCCGCACCAGAAACCGACGCUGCUGGAACUUGAUCUUGGACUUCCAGCCCCAGAACCGUAAGAAGUGAAAGUCGUCACUACAGCUUCCCGUCUGCGGUAUUUCAUUGCGGCAGCCAGAGCUGGCUGAUGUGCUCACCACUCCAGGACUUCUCCUUCUCUGACCACCAGCCACCCUCCCUGGAGGACACCUUUGCCCUUGGCUGAGGAAGGAUUUGCAGUCUGGGAUUUUCCCACUGUCAACGUAAAUAACAGAGAGAGACUCUAAAACAAAAUGAGAUUUAUUCGGGAGCGUUCAUUGCAAUCAAAUAUAUGUGCCAUCGUAAAUUGGAUGUGGGUCAAGGAGGGUAAAGGAAGACAAAGGUUUUCAAAAGAUAAACGGAUUACAUCAUU